GCCUUCGUGGUGUAAUGGUCAGCACACUGAGCAGGUAUUUAAGAGGUCCGCGGUUCGAUUCCCGGCGAAGGCG
rfam:Stegodyphus mimosarum contig88009, whole genome shotgun sequence.